rnacentral:rRNA from 1 species
GAGUCCUUAACUGACGCUAAAGCUCGAAAGUGCGGGUAUCGAACAGGAUUAGAUACCCUGGUAGUCCGCACGGUAAACGAUGGAUGCCCGCUGUCUGCGAUACAUUGUAGGCGGCCAAGAGAAAUCGUUAAGCAUCCCACCUGGGGAGUACGCCGGCAACGGUGAAACUCAAAGGAAUUGACGGGGGCCCGCACAAGCGGAGGAACAUGUGGUUUAAUUCGAUGAUACGCGAGGAACCUUACCCGGGCUUGAACUGCCAGCGAACGAUACAGAGAUGUUGAGGCCCUUCGGGGCGCUGGUGGAGGUGCUGCAUGGUUGUCGUCAGCUCGUGCCGUGAGGUGUCGGCUUAAGUGCCAUAACGAGCGCAACCCCUUUCAAUAGUUGCCAUCAGGUGAUGCUGGGCACUCUGUUGAUACUGCCACCGUAAGGUGUGAGGAAGGUGGGGAUGACGUCAAAUCAGCACGGCCCUUACGUCCGGGGCUACACACGUGUUACAAUGGGUGGUACAGAGAGUCGGCCGUACGCAAGUGCGGUCCAAUCAUGAAAGCCAUCCUCAGUUCGGAUUGGGGUCUGCAACCCGACCCCAUGAAGCUGGAUUCG